CACUCGACGAGUUGGACCCCCAAACAACAUAUCUUCGUGUUUUGGUGCUGGAAUUGGUCUAUAAUCAUUACCUUUGAUGUUUUGGACUUAUAAAACCUAUUUUUUAAGUGGUAAUGAUUAUGUUAAACCAAUUUCAAUGCUAUAAUCAAAGUUUCAAGUUUUAUAUGUUUAUGUAAUUAUUGAAAAAUGUUGACUAUGAAUGUUCAUGCUUAUGAGUUUUGGUAGAUCAUAAGAAUUGUGUGCAAAUUGUUUGUUAGUAUAAUUUUUGAUCUUAAUGAAAUUGUAUGGAGUCCAUAAUUUGUCCUCAAAUUAUGGAUUACCAAGAGUUUUAUGUUUCCUUGUUCAUAUGAUUUGUUUAGAUUAAUAGAAAAAUUAUGUGAUAAUGUGUUUUCAAUCCAAAUUAAUCUAGAGUUAGUUCAUAAAAUAUGUUUUUGUAACUUGUCCUCAAGUUAUAUGAAAAUUCAUAUUUAUGAAUCUUAAAACUCAUAAAAGGUGUCAUAGGUUACAUAAAAAUGAAGAGUCUUUUUCAUUAAUUGGUUUUAUGACUCCAUAACUUGUCCUCAAGUUAUGAAUGUUGAAAAGUCACUUCAUUAAAAUUGUUAUUAAAAGAUAAGGAGUUACAUGAAAAUGAAGAGUCUUCAUUUUAAUGUACAUUAAACUCAUAAGUUAUGAAAUGAAAAGUCUUGAAUAGUUUGAAAACUUGCCCUCAAGUUUUGGAAUUUGUAAAGUUACUCUUCAUGUAUACUUUAAUUCCAAAUUGAACCCUUAGAAUUUUAAAAGUUAAAAUUCAAACUUUAUGGACUUCAUUAAAUUAAUUAAAGUGUUUAAUUAAAAGAGUUAAUGAUUUCAUAAAGAAAUGGUUUAAGUUUAAUUAAAUUAAGAGUAUAGUUUAAUUAAUAGAUUAAACCACCAAGUACUUUAAAUGUUUAAAAUACACCCUUAUACUAUUAUUAUAAUUUUAAUUAUAUAGAUAUGUAUAAGAUAAAGUCAAUCUUACCGUUAGUAGGCCUCAUUCACGAAGCCGGUAUAUAAGGGGGUAUAAGGUUACUACCUAUAAAAUGGCAGUUUAAUGGGUGUCCAUUCUCACCCACCGCUUCCUUGACUGGUGGAGGGUCAUUAUCCGAAUGGGUAAGAAAUGACUAUAAUUCUCCCUUCAUUAAAAGUAUAAUGAUAAAUACUAAGUAACUAAAUGCUUAUAAAUUACCAAUCUUAGUUGCUUAGGAAAAUGUGAAAUUGGUGCUAACCCAUAAAAUUACACUUUGUACCUUACCAAGUCGUUAGUAGAGCGUGUGUGGCUAACCGCCAUGCUAACAAAGGACUAGUAAGAGUGGCAAAGGGUAACUUGACUUUAUUAUAGAUCGGUGGAGCAUGUGUGGUUAACCGACACAUCGAUUAGGUGAUAAAGUUAAGGGUACCAAGUCAAUUUGCAUGGUUAUUCACAUAUUGUUUGUGAUCCUCGGCAUCCCUGUCACAAACUUGAGAGGGCACAAUCGAGAUUCAAACAUGCCAUUGAAAGUUCAAUGUAUCUCAAAAGAUCUAGGAGUUUCAAAUCCAAUUAAAACUUAAUUAUAUUUCAUUUUUCAUGGUGGAAAUUGGUAGAUUGUCAUUUACCUACCUUCAACUAUUUUAUAACUUGUAUUACGACAUCCCUCUUCCGGUUAUAAAUAGGUUGUUGGGUCAUAGCCUUAAUAUUUCAUAUUGGGUGUUAUAUUAAGGACUUUAAAUCAACUAACUUGAAUUUCUCCCUUGUAGAUGUCUAGUUUAGACAACUAUGGUCUUCCCAAAUCUUUAGGAACAAACUUCCUAAUGAAGAUGAUAUCCCAAAAGGCAAUCAAGGUGAAAGACUAAUCCCUUUAUUGAGCACUAAUGGGACUGGAAAUCAUACUUCAUUUCCUCCACCUCCUUCAAUAAUUCUCCCUAUCCCACAAGUUUCAAGACUUGAAUAGUUCUAAGUCACUCAAUCCCUAUUGGCAAUCAAAGUCUAUAUAUGCUUACAUCUUAGAGGUUAAGCCACAUAUUGACAAGUCGGGAGAGUCGGGUAUCAAAGUCUUGAUGAAAGUUGGCUAUUGACUGGGUUCUUUAGUCACUUCCUGAUAACAGACUAUGACAUGAACCUUAAUGAUCUUACAUGUUUUCUUGAUGACGUUGAAUCAGCUUGGAGCAUUGGUAAAGAAAAUUAUAUUGGAAGAUCUACUUCCCAAACCUAUUUGGACAUUGGCAUUGGUGACAUUGGAAGUCCAGAAAAACUUUCCCUUCCCAAUUGAAAGGGAUUGGCCAUGGUUAAGUUGUUUGACCUAAUGGUAAAGAGAAAGGCUAAGUCUUUGAUAGCCUCGUAUACCAUUUCCAAAGAGUCCAUAUGUUUCCUUUUGCCAAUAGGAGGGGCAUUGGUUGCGAAGCUGCCGAAUUUACCUAAAACCUCAUAAGGAUGGUAAAGUCAAAAGUUUGACUCUACUUCAGGUAAAGUCCGUUAUCUAAGUCUAUUAAGUCUCUUUUGGAGAUUCUUAAAACAUGAUGUAAUGUAAUUACAUUUUGAUGUUUUUGAAGAAUCAAAGGAAGCUUAAAGAAAAGGUGUGCUGAUUUUGAUCGCAUGGUUCGAUGACCAGAAUUUUGAGCCACUGCAUAAGAGUUAUGUGAUAUUGCUUAGGAAUAGAUAACAACAAAGUUUUCAUAUGAAUUUUCAUUGUAACGAUAAGUUUUCCGCAAGUUUUUAAAAUAAAGUUUUUAUUUUAUUUAUUUUAAGUAUCCUUACAAAGGCAUUUGUGAAAAAUUGUUGCUUAUAUGUUUCCAUUGAUAAGCAAUAUUGGAAAAUAAAUUUGAUUCUUUCGUUUGUGGUAGUGUCAUAAUUUAUCAAUUAAGGAAAGAUUCUCAUCACCCAAGUUUCAGUUGUAUAGAAACUUGGAAUCAUGCAAGUUGUAUUGUGUGAUGAAUGAGAAUUUUCAUCUUUGGUAAAUUAAGACUAAUUCCUUAUUCACAUCCGCAUGUGAGUCAAGCGAAGGACUAAAGGAUUGGGUACAUUAGGUUGUGCGCUAGUCAGGUCCACCACAAAGGUUGAUAAGAUUAUUUGUUAUGAUUAUUAAAGUGUAGUAAAUAUGAUUAUUCUUACAAGAUUAAGUGUAAUUCUGAAACAUUGGAAAAGUUUCAAUGUAUGGCAUAAUGAAUAAGAAGAAUCAAAUAANCUCUAAUCUGAAGAGAUGGGAGAGCACUUGAGUAUCUUGUUUAUGAUUAUCUUAGAGAUUAUGGUACCAUAUCACAAUUGAUCCUCUAAAGACACCUUAGUGCAUUUGUUUGGCUAAGGAGAGGAAUCGUGAAGUGUGGAAAUGGUCAAAUCAAAAGACAAAUCAUGCUUCGUUCCAAAACAAGUCUUAGAUUCAUACUCUAAGAUUAUAACUUGAGUGACAUAAUUUUAAGAAAGGUUUAUAAAACUUAUCAAAUGUAGAGUAACAUGUUUCUUACUCUUGUACAUUUGGGAUUGGUAAGUUGUGAUGUUUUGGAUAAGACAAAAACCAAUUAAGACCAAUUGGAAGAAGUUUUUAUCUUGAUAAGAAUCCACACUAACUCUUGAAUAUUUGUUUUGUCAAGAAUGGUUCUUGAACAAGAGAAUAUUAUAUGUCAAGAGGACAGUGGGAGUCUUAAAAGAUCUUGAGAUGGUUUCAAGAACUAAUCAAGAGUAUUGUUAAUCACUAGACCACGACUUGAGGUCUAUAACCUAUCAUGUUGACAUAUUCUUAUUUCUGUGUCUAUUCCAGUAAAAGUUGACCAUGCUUGUGAGUUCUAUGAGUUCUCAAUUGUUUGCAUAAUAACCCGGAAGCAAUGGUGGGCAUUGUGCUACCAGGUGGCAAGAAAUUAAGAUUGAACAAGAUCAGUCCAUAUGAGUUUGGAUUUGUCACUAACCUUUUCUUGUGAUUAUGGUUGACAAAUUCACAUGGAUAGGAACACUUACACCAUAAAAUCUAAGUGUCAUAAGGUUUCUCUUCGAUUCAUGAAAAUGAUGGUAAGGAAACUCUUUCACUAAGUAGAUUGCAGUUGUGAUAUUUGCAUUUUUAUGUCAUUAGUGGAGCGUGUGUGGUUAACCGGCACACGAACUAGUAAGAAUUGCAAAAGGUCUAGACAAACAUGUGAGCUAUCUAAGGAAAGGUGUAUGAUUUUGAUAAAGUCUUAUCAAAGCAUCUUGUAUCAGAAAUCUGAACUUUUGUAAGAAAGUCAAUAAAGUAUUGUUUUUCUAGAAGUCCAAUUGAUUUCUAAGUACAUGUCAAAGCUAGUGGGAGCAUAAGUGUUAUGCUAGUAAGAUAAAAAAAUUAAUAAUCAUUAUGCUAGUGGGAGCAUGAUUAUUAUAUUAAGUGUUGCAAGUAAGCAAUGUUAAUUAUAGAAAACAAAAGUUUCAAUUCGCCUUGAAAAAGUUGUUUUGCCAUAAUUAAGGGAUAGAAUUUUAUACUUCAUUUCAAUUCUACAAGCUUAGAUUGAGAUUUUAAUCUACUUUAGUCAAGUAUAUAUAAGAAUGUUAUGUUGGAAUAGUUCAACAUAAGGAAAUUCUAUAUAUAUGUUGCGUUCUAAAAAUUCGAUUAUGAUUAUGCCAUACCUCUUCAUAGUUCGAAUUGUGAGAAUAUGGCAAAUAAAAAUUUUAUAGCAUGAUUCGUGUCCCAUAUGCUUCGGGUAUAGGUUUGAUUACAUGUGCUAUAAUCCGGUCUAAAUUUUCCAAAUGCUUAGGGCAUUAAGAUGGAAAAUGGAAUAGAACUGGAAAUGACUAAAAUGAUUAAGCAAAUUCUCGAGGACAAUCCAAGGUUUAACAAAGAUUGGUUGCUCAUGGACAAUUAGAAGUAUAGAGUAAGGACCAUAUUGACAUAUUUUGAAAAUAGGCAACUCUUGUUCAAAAGUGAUGGUCAAAAUGGGAAUAUGGAAUUGUUUCCAUAGGUGGAAGUUAUUCUUUGAAUUUGUGUAGGAUUAAAGAACUUAAUGCAAAGAAGGAUGUUCAAAGGAAUGUACUUUUAAUUUGAGACUUCAUUUCCAUGGAAUUGAUUUCGAUUGGAAAUACUUUGUAAUGUUUGUUUCCAAGUCUUUGUGACUUGUGUGCAUAUUCAUUACAAGAGGAUCAUUGCAUAUAAGUUUAGAAUCUAACAGAUUAUAGUAAAUGGCAAGAGUUUGGUAUUCUUACAUUUACAAUAAGGAUUGGAAUUGUGAAAUAAGCAUCAUUGAAAUGUUGUCAAUCAAUCUGUUUCACAAAGAGAGGACCAUAUGUAAACAUAGUGUGCAUACUUGGAGUAUGGCAUAGCUAUUUUUUGGAAAAACAUAGUGUGCAUGCUUGGAGCAUGACAUGACUAUUGUUUUAUUUCAAGUAUCAAGUUGAUUAAUCGAAACAUGAAUAAUGAGUAAUAAAUAUGGUUCUUAGAUAAAAGGGUUUUAUUUACACUCAAGAGUUUGGGGCCAUAUAGGAUUAAGUAUUAUUCUUGUGUUUCACUUUGCAUGUUUUGACUUCCAGAAUAACUAGGUCGUUCUUCCUGAAUGCCUAAGUUGUUCAAACCAUCCUCAGUCGGUCAUAUGUUGGAAGUAGAGAUGAAUCAAGACUGUCAUGAAUCUGGAUUGUAUGAUUUGUCUAAUGUGCAUUAGACAUAGCAAUGGUUGCUGCAACAUUCAUGAGUACUCAUAAGGCCUGAGUAUUAGAUUCAACCCACGCUCAUUUGGAUUCACUUCAUGGAUUUUAUCACGAGUGAAUCGUGAGACGAUAAUAUCUUAUAUUCUUUAAACCUAGAGAUAUGAGUUGUUGACUAUUAGUUGGUUAUACAUUGAUUGCAUGAGAACGCAUUGGUAACUCGAUGUUAUAAAACAUGCCUUUGUGUAUGACUCAACAAGUAGUCAAUACAAGCAUAUGAGUCGAAGUUUAUCCAUUCCUUUUACCCUCAAAGGGAUAAAAGCAAUAUCUAUGGGCCCCUCGAUAAUUUAGUGAUGACAAAACGUAAGUGCUCGGCCGGGCCUGGACUGAUUUGAUUUGUUCAAUUAGUCAGUCGUCAUGAAUCGGAAAAUUAGGAAACAACAAAUGGACAAAGAGAAUGAUUAUAAUCCAUGUCUCAGUCCAUAUGAUAUCUUGAAUGGAGGAAUAUAUGAUCACUUAUCUAAUGGACGCGUCAUUGAUUUGUUCAGAGUUCGACAACGGCUUUUGAGAGCUACGAUUGCUAGUCGGGUUAUGAAGUCGUACUUGCAAUAAUAGUUUUAGACUUAUCCAAGUUAGAGACUGUUGGAUUAGUGUCUAAGUCCAUAACUAUAACCGAUAUAUACUUGACCCGACCCGGCAUGGUCCAUUUGGGUUGCAUGGCAUCAUGCAUUUGGAUAGACUAAAAUGAGAGAAAUAACACUUAAGGUUUAUUAAUAUAUUAUAAGUUCUAAUAUAUUAAUAAGAUUAUUUAAUUAGUAUUGAUCAAGAAUUAAUCUAGAAUUAAUUAAGUGAUCAAAAGACGACUAAUUAAAUAUAUGGGUUGAUUGUGUAAAUCAUCCAUACUUAUAUAGUGGGCUAAUGCUCCAUGGAUUAUCAAGUUGGGCUAAAACCCAUAGAAUGCUCCAUGGAUGCUCCAUGGUGUAUUUGAACCCAUGGAUCCAAGGAAAUGGAAAGCCAUGACAAUUAGGGUUUACCCUAAUUGUGUCACACUAUAUAAGCAUAUCAUUCUUGUCAAAAUCGGCCACUAAGUCUAUGUAUGGAGGGCAAGCCGAUUUCAUGAAGUGAUGAUUUCUCUCUAAGUUAUUCCAAGUGCAUUUGAUGUUGUGUGAACCAUUUGAGGUGUCACACUCAGGGCACUAGGCUCUCAAUCUACAUGGAAUCAAGCACCAACAAAGAGGUAUGUCAUUCUACUAGUUUUAUAUUAUUUGUACUUUAUAUUAUGCUAGUUAGGACAAUACCUUGGAAAUUGAUAUUUGCAUGUAUAAUAGAGAAAAAAUAGAUCCAAGGUAUUUAGGGUUGCAUGUACACCAUAGGAGUGUUAGAAUGCUCAAAACCCAACAUACAGAACAUCACGAUGUCCUGCCUCAAACACUGAUCUUCUACUUACAACAUCAUACACCGUCACAUCACUGCGUUCCCUCAGAAUCUCAUAACUAAUCUUCAUUUCGCACAAUGCGCAACUUCGGAGUAUCCCUACUCCCAACUGAAACAUGGAGGAAUCGUCAAUGACUCAGAACAUGCUGAAGAUGAUCCGAAGCUUCCUUCUAUAUUGCUCCAAACUCAUGUAAGAAUACUCAUAACGACCCUGAAGUCGUUUGCCUAAUCAACUUCUUCCCCCUUCCCAGACUCCAUAUCACUGCCCAUACAUUGGACCAGAAUUCUCUCCACUAUCGGACUAUUCUUACGAGCCAACCACUUCGAGAUCACCUUUAUAACCUCGAAGAAUUCCUAACCACCACAAGGUCUCCGACCAACGGUCACUUGCCAUGGAGACACUCAUUCGUUCUCAACGUGAACCACAUGCAUUAUCUCGCUCUGCACCUUGCCUCGACCAUCAAUAACCAUGGUCUCAUGAAUCUAUGUCGCAGAUCUCUAUAUCCAGUUCUCUAACCGCUUUCGAACAUAUCUCUGAUUCUCUCAAAAAAUACCCAGUUCUCCCCCACUUAGAGUUCGAACCAUCACCAAUUGGCGCACUAACAAUCUAUCCUACAGACUGUUUCCACCAAUAACAUCGCACCUACUCCUGGAAGGUGCUACGCAACGCUAGAUGAUCUCCACGAUAGGGAUAAAGCAACUCCAAUAACCCGAAUCUCAUAUGAAAUCCUCCGACGCUUUUCAUCAUGACUGCCUCUUAGUCAUUCAGAAUCUCAUACUAUUCAACUACCAGAAAACUUAAUCGUCCAGUAAGAACCCUGACUCUCAGUCCAGAGAUAAUGAAUCACCAUACUCCUCAUCCUCGACUUCUCAACCAACAUUCCAACACAUGAAUCAUAACCAGAACAGGGACUCCAUUCCCACCCUCGAUACCCGUCAUAGACAAAAGAGCCACCGCCCCGAUAUACUCUUAUAGAUUAUCCGCUGCUACAGCUAACAUAUGCCUUACUAUACUCAAGUAGGGUGCAUCCUGGUGUUGGAUAAGGUGUCUAAAUCCAUAACUUAUUUGGUAUAUACUUGACCCGACCCGACAUGGUCCAUUUGGGUUGCAUUUCAUCCAAACUAUUUAUGGAUAAUUUUAUGAGAGUUAUACACAUAUGUUUAUUAAUAUAUUGUAAGUUAUAAUAUAUUAAUAUGAAGUUAUUUAAUUAGUGUUAGUCUUAAAUUAAUUAUGAAUUAAUUUAGAGAUUAAAAGGAAGACUAAUUAAAUUGUGGGCUAUUGUUUUAUAUGGUGUGGGCUAAUACUCAUUAGUUAAUGGGCUAGGCUUAUAUGGAAGUCCAUGGAUGAUCCAUGGAGCUUUUAACCCAUGGAUCCUUGGGAAAGGAAAAGUCAUGGGUUAUUAGGGUUUCACCCUAAUCAUGUACACUAUAUAAGCAUGCUUAUGUUGCAUGAAAUAGCCCCUAGUGGCACUAGUUGUGUGAGACGUAGGUGUGGCCGAUUUCUAUGUGUGUAUACACUCUCUCAAAGUUUUCCAAGUGUUUGUGGUGAUUUGUGAUUCCAUUUGAGGCAUUCACACUAUUGGUGUUUGGCCCUCAAACUCCUUAAGAAUCAAGCUCAUCAAAAAGGUAUGUAAUCUCAUCUAAUUCUUUUAUGUUUAAAAGUACCCCAUGCCAUGUUAGAUAGGUUAUGAACCUUGGAAAAUUAUUAUUUUGCAUGUAUUUAGACAAACAUAGAUCCAAGGUUUAUUAGGGUUGCAUGCACACUUAGGAAGUGUUAGAUUGCUCAAAACCCAACAGUGGUAUCAGAGCCUAGGCUUGCUUGUUUGAUACUUGAUGCAAAAUAGUGAAAAAAGUUGAAAUUGUUGCUGUCUGGCUGAUGGACUNUAGAUUGCUCAAAACCCAACAGUGGUAUCAGAGACUAGGCUUGUUUUCUUGAAUACUUGAUGCAGAUUGCUGAAAAUCGAAGUUUAUGUGCUGUCUGCACAGCAGACUCGCCGAGUCCAUGAAGGGUCUCGACGAGUCCAAGGCAAAACUCAUCCAACUCGGCGAGUUGGUUCAUGCACUCAACAAGUUGGACCCCCAGACAACAUAUCUUCGAGGUUUGGUGUUGGAAUUGGUCUAGAGUCAUUACCUUAAACUGUUUUGAUCUUAUAAAACUUGUUUUUGAUGUGGUAAUGAUGAUGGUGGACUAAUUUCAAAGUUAUAAUCAAAAUUUCAAGUUUAUAUGUGUUCAUAUGAUUCUUGAAAUUGUUGAUGUGGAUGUUCAUGUUCAUAUGAGUUUUGUUAGAUCAUAGGAAUUAUUUGCAAAUUGUUUGUUAGUUAAUUCUUGAUCUUAAUGUGUUUUAAUGGAAUUCUUAAUUUGUCCUCAAGUUAUGGAAUUCCAAGAGUUUUUCUUUUAAAUGUUUUUUAGAAGUUGUAGGUUACAUUUUCUUGAAGAGUUUUUCCCAUAAAUGCUUUUAUGGACUUCAUAACUUGUCCUCAAGUUAUGGAUUUCCAAGAGACUCUUCAUUAAAAGCUUUAAAACACUUAAUUAAAACUCAUAAGUUAUGAAUAUCCAAAAGUUUAUGAAUUGUUCAAAACUUGCCCUCAAGUUUUGGAAUUUGUAAAGUCUCACACAAACUUUAAUUCCAUACCCUAGAAGUUUUAAAAGUUAAAAUUCUACCCUUAUACUAUUN
rnacentral:lncRNA from 1 species